UACGUAGGGAGCAAGCGUUGUCCGGAAUCAUUGGGCGUAAAGCGCGCGUAGGUGGCUUCGUAAGUCCGUUGUGAAAGUCAAAGGCUCAACCUUUGAAAGCCGAUGGAUACUGUGGAGCUAGAGUACGGAAGAGGCGAGUGGAAUUCCUGGUGUAGCGGUGGAAUGCGCAGAUAUCAGGAGGAACACCGGUGGCGAAGGCGGCAUCCUGGACCGACACUGACGCUGAGGAGCGAAAGCCAGGGGAGCAAACGGG
rnacentral:rRNA from 1 species